rnacentral:lncRNA from 10 species
CCAGAGCCCCUGGAACUCUGGCCCAAGGCUCUCUGACUGACUCCUUCUCGGCUUAGCGGCUGAAGACUGUUGCUGCCCGAUCGCCUCGGAAGCCCCGUAGACCAUCACGGACGCCGAGCUUCCAGUAACUCACAGUGAAAGCUUGUUUAAUGAAGCUAGCUUCAAUGCUGUGAGCUGCUCUAUAGACGCCCAUGUAGGAGGAAACUCAAGGGGCCCCCAGCCACUAGCCAUUGAGGAACUGAGGCCCUCAAUCCAACAACCCACAAGGAACUGAAUCCUGCCAACAACCACUGAGUGAGCCUGGAAGCGGAUCCUGCCCAGCUGAAACUCGAGAAGAUUGUAGCUCUGCUGCCCUGACCACUAUUCUAACUGCACCCUUGAGAGAGACCCUCAGCCAGCUAAUCUGUACCUGGAUUCCUAACCUGGAGAAACUGAAAUAGCAACGCAUGUUGAUGUAAGUGCUAAGUUUGGGAGUAAUUUGUUAUGUAACAAUAAAUAACUAAUAAU